rnacentral:rRNA from 1 species
GAUGAACGCUGGCGGCGUGCCUAAUACAUGCAAGUCGAGCGAACAGACGAGGAGCUUGCUCCUCUGACGUUAGCGGCGGACGGGUGAGUAACACGUGGAUAACCUACCUAUAAGACUGGGAUAACUUCGGGAAACCGGAGCUAAUACCGGAUAAUAUAUUGAACCGCAUGGUUCAAUAGUGAAAGACGGUUUUGCUGUCACUUAUAGAUGGAUCCGCGCCGCAUUAGCUAGUUGGUAAGGUAACGGCUUACCAAGGCAACGAUGCGUAGCCGACCUGAGAGGGUGAUCGGCCACACUGGAACUGAGACACGGUCCAGACUCCUACGGGAGGCAGCAGUAGGGAAUCUUCCGCAAUGGGCGAAAGCCUGACGGAGCAACGAAGCGUGAGUGAUGAAGGUCUUCGGAUCGUAAAACUCUGUUAUUAGGGAAGAACAAAUGUGUAAGUAACUAUGCACGUCUUGACGGUACCUAAUCAGAAAGCCACGGCUAACUACGUG